AUUGAACGCUGGCGGCAGGACUAACACAUGCAAGUCGAGCGAGCGGCGGACGGGUGAGUAAUGUAUGGGGACUGCCCGAUAGAGGGGGAUAACUCCUGGAAACGGUAGAUAAAACGGACUACGAUCGGAUAACCCAUAUGGGAUUUGAUAGUAAGUGAGGUAAUGGCUCACCUAGUCGAAGAUCCCUAGCUGGUCUGAGAGGAUGAUCAGCCACACGGGGACUGAGACACUGCCCAGACUCCUCCGGAGGCAGCAGUGGGGAAUAUUGCACAAUGGGCGCAAGCCUGAUGCAGCCAUGCCGCGUGUAUGAAGAAGGCCCGAGGGUUGUAAAGUACUUUCAGUCGGGAGGCGUUACCGACAGAAGAAGCACCGGCUAACUCCGUGCCAGCAGCCGCGGUAAUUC
rnacentral:rRNA from 1 species